rnacentral:lncRNA from 1 species
GCGUCCCCUGUGUCCCCAGAGUCACCAUCACGUGUUCCCCGCCCCACCAAGGGCUUGUGUCCCCUCCAGCCUUGGCCACCCUUACCUCUGUCGUGACACAGCUCUUCCACGCUGCAGUGCUCAUUUUCGCUCCUAUUUUGCAACAGAAAAUUGCGUACGCCAGGACAGUCGCAAGGGAAAACAGGCGCAACGUGAAGCAGAUGAGAGCGUAAAUCAUAAAGCCAUCGUACAUGUUCCGCAUGCUGCAAACGAGGAGCUAAUUUCCUACUAGAGGUCUUCAGGAUGUUUCAAGUCAGUCUUCUCCAAUGUGGCCCUUAAAAACGCUACGAAGAGUUCGAUUGCGCACAGCCCCGGCAAGAUGGAGGAAAGGAACCGGGGAAACCAAAUUUGUCCGUACCUUUGGGCCUGCACAGAGUGCGAGAGUCGCAAUGAUGAGAUGCACUGGUGUUUCUGGCAGGGCAGCAGCAGUGGGUGGGGAUUUGCACAACAGACGCUCCAGACAGCUAAGAAUUUGGCACAGCGAUCUCAGGGAGAACUCCUCUCCAAAGAGAGCGGUCCUCUGGCGAGAAACCCCUCAUUUCAUUAGUCAAACUGCCCUUUGCAAGGAACUUCUCUGAGCUGCAGCCUCCCAUUGCAUCUUCCUCCUGAAAUCUGAUGCUGCCCUGCUUUGACGGUGAUCAGUUGUUGACUGCAGAAAAGCUGAAUCAUGAAACAGAGGUUAUAAACAAGGUUAUGUAUAACAAAGGAAAUGAAUCCCACAUCAUGCAGAAGUUGGAGCAAGGGACUGACAGCUAGGGCUCUCGGGUCUCACUCCAGCCCUGAUACGCUCCGUGACCUGAAGCGAAUUACAGUCUUUGUAACCUUUAAUUUACCUGCUUAUAAAAUGGAGGAAGUAACAGACUCCGUUGUGCUUUCUUUGUACAGCAAAGCUCUUGGUGCAACAGUAAAGCGAUGCUGAGAGCAACAUGGUGCCAGGGGCUGGUUUUCACUAUGGACCUUGCAGAUCCACUUUCAGUCACGCAAAAUGUUCACCCAGCACACGCUCUUUCAAAAGCAUUCAUAGACAUUUUGAAGGCAGAGCGAGACUAUCCAAUCUGAUUAUCCUCUCCUGUAUUUCACAGGCUCUUACAUUUCAGUUUCCUCAUGGAGCCUAGUAACUUGUGUUUCAUUUUACUAGCUGAAAACUCUAAAUAUACAAGUUUUGUAGCCCAGAGCCUCCUGUUACAUCCUUCCGGCACCGGAGAGCUGCAGGGUGCAUGUUGUAGAUACGCAGCCCAGGGGGAGGGAAGAAAAGUCUGAUGCACGACAGCUAACUGGGAAAUUUCCUGCCAAUGCCAUUUCUUCUCUCUCUUUUUCAAGAAAUUAAACUCUUUGCAGAAGAGCACAUUUCACUUCCACUAGAAAAGAUUUCUCAAAUGUGGGGAGCAGGGGACUGGCAUGGGGACUGUCCAGGCUUUCAGGAACUCCCCCAGGAGGAUGGACAGCCCCACGUACACAUCUCUGUGAACCUGUUUUCUGUGCUCCUGGCAAACGCUCUAGUUAACAAACUACUGUAGGUACGUCUCCCCUCUAUAUAAAUAACUAUUAAGGCAAAUAUUUAAGAACUCUGGCUUUUUUGAAAAUAUUUUGUAAGUAUAAAUAAAUAAAUGAAUGCACACA